rnacentral:lncRNA from 1 species
CUAGGGGGUAUGUGUAGAUGUACUCACAGCUACCUUGCCCUUCCUACGUCACACAACCCUAGUCUAUGACAAGUGUUCUCUGUCAUCACCUCCCCACCCCCCACACACUCCCCCCAGUAAUCCAAAACUUGAAACACCAAUGAUGAUAGAAGAAGCUCUCCUGUAAUAACUGAUAUUUAAAUCCAAUACAGAGGUGCUACAUAGAAGGCAGCAUCACUGACUUUGAUGGCCAAGAACUCCAUAAGACUCCAUGAAAGACAGCUAACCCAUACCUAACAAGUUUUCUGUAUAAAGAUAUUCUGUACAGCACUAAUUCCUAGGUCUGAAUAAUGUCUUCAGAAAUGUAACAAUAUGGAGCCAUUACGCUAUGAUAACAGAAUGGAUCAGAUAAUAUCACAAGACUACUUAACGCUGUACAUUUUUGAAAAAUGUUCCUAUCUCUAAGCAACAAAGAGGCCUUUAUUUUUCUCUGCCGCAAGCAUACUACGGAUGAAGUCUAUACAUGUAAUAUGAUCAUUCAGACUGUUUAGUAAAAAAUACUUCAUUAUUUGAAGAAUCAGCAUGUGACAUUUUGAGUUGAGUUGAGUCCACAGACCAGGAG